rnacentral:rRNA from 1 species
AGGGCUUGACAUAUAGAGGAAUAUAUAAGAGAUUAUAUAGCUCUUCGGAGUCUCUAUACAGGUGGUGCAUGGUUGUCGUCAGCUCGUGUCGUGAGAUGUUGGGUUAAGUCCCGCAACGAGCGCAACCCCUAUGGUUAGUUGCCAGCAUUUAGGAUGGGAACUCUAGCCAGACUGCCGGUGAUAAAUCGGAGGAAGGUGGGGACGACGUCAAAUCAUCAUGCCCUUUAUGUCCUGGGCUACACACGUACUACAAUGGUUGUAACAGAGGGAAGCAAGAUAGUGAUAUGGAGCGAAACCCAAAAAGCAACCUCAGUUCGGAUUGAAGGCUGAAAUUCGCCUUCAUGAAGCCGGAAUUGCUAGUAAUGGCAGGUCAGCAUACUGCCGUGAAUACGUUCUCGGGCC